GGGAGGUUGUCUCAGUUGGGAGAGCAGCUGCAUCGCAUGCAGCAGCUGCAUCGCAUGCAGCAGGUCAUCGGUUCAAGUCCGUUAUCCUCCAC
rnacentral:tRNA from 1 species